rnacentral:misc_RNA from 1 species
UCCGGCUUGUCACCGGCAGUUUCUCCAGAGUGCCCGGCAUUACCCGGUGGCAACUGAAGAUGAGGGUUGCGCUCGUUGCGGGACUUAACCCAACAUCUCACGACACGAGCUGACGACAGCCAUGCAGCACCUGUGUUCCCGCCAGCCGAACUGAAGAAUGGGGUCUCCCCCACCCAUACGGGACAUGUCAAGGGCUGGUAAGGUUCUUCGCGUUGCGUCGAAUUAAACCACAUGCUCCACCGCUUGUGCGGGCCCCCGUCAAUUCCUUUGAGUUUCAGCCUUGCGGCCGUACUCCCCAGGCGGGGUACUUCCUGCGUUAGCGCCGGCACCCAAGGGGUCGCUCCCCCAGGCACCUAGUACCCAUCGUUUACGGCGUGGACUAC